AUACGUAGGUGACAAGCGUUAUCCGGAUUUACUGGGCGUAAAGGGCGUGUAGGCGGUCUUGCAAGUCAGAAGUGAAAUUCCUGAGCUCAACUCGGGCGCUGCUUCUGAAACUGCAGGACUUGAGUGCUGGAGGGGAUAGCGGAAUUCCUAGUGGAGCGGUAAAAUGCGCAGAUAUUAGGAAGAACACCGGUGGCGAAGGCGGCUAUCUGGACAGUAACUGACGCUGAGGCGCGAAAGCGUGGGGAGAAAACAGGAUUAGAUACCCCGUUAUUCCACUCCGUAAACGAUGAAUACUAGGUGUAGGGGGUAUCGACUCCCUCUGUGCCGCAGUUAACACAAUAAGUAUUCCGCCUGGGGAGUACGGCCGCAAGGUUGAAACUCAAAUGAAUUGACGGGG
rnacentral:rRNA from 1 species